rnacentral:rRNA from 1 species
AACGAACGCUGGCGGCAGGCCUAACACAUGCAAGUCGAGCGAGGACUUCGGUUCUAGCGGCGGACGGGUGAGUAACGCGUGGGAAUGUUCCCUUCUCUACGGAAUAGCCCUGGGAAACUUGGAGUAAUACCGUAUACGCCCUAUUGGGGAAAGAUUUAUCGGAGAAGGAUCAGCCCGCGUUGGAUUAGGUAGUUGGUGGGGUAAUGGCCUACCAAGCCGACGAUCCAUAGCUGGUUUGAGAGGAUGAUCAGCCACACUGGGACUGAGACACGGCCCAGACUACUACGGGAGGCAGCAGUGGGGAAUCUUAGACAAUGGGGGAAACCCUGAUAUAGCCAUGCCGGGUGAGCGAUGAAGGCCUUAGGGUUGUAAAGCUCUUUCAGCUGGGAAGAUAAUGACGGUACCAGCAGAAGAAGCCCCGGCUAACUACGUG